rnacentral:lncRNA from 1 species
AACAUAAUAUAUCAAUAAAAAAAUUUUCUCUAAAAAGUUCCUUGAACUUCUGUGAAAUCUCAUUCUCAAAAAUAACUUUUAAAAAAUCUGAGAAAUCUCAUAUUUCUUUACAAGUCAAAAAACAUGGUUUGAAAGAGGAAGUUCCCUUGGUUUUCUGUAGCUAGAUUCUAGGUUUCUUCUAGUUUUGGAUUCUGGUUCUGAAGCUCAAAUUUGGAUUGUUGAAAACUGAUCUUGGUUUCUAAUUUGGCUGUGUGUUUGGCUGCCUGCUACUGCUCAUUAUUUUAGAAGAAUCAGCUGAGCUAUUACCCUUUAUUUAGUCUUAUUUGAGUCAUCUUUAGGUAUGUAACCAAGUUUUGGCUAUGAGAAUGAUCCUAUAUGUGAAAUUUGCAUUUAUAUAUAACUAUAUGUGUAUGGAUACAUGUGUUACCAGUAGAAGCUAAUGUGUUAACUCAUUAUUUGUCAUCAGCCUUUCAUAUGUUUCUCUUUGCAUCUCAGCAUGUAAAAAGUAAUGUUAAAAUAGCACAAGCAGUUGUAUUUUGUGACAAUGUUUAGGUUAGUUUAUGAUACUUUUCUUGCUAUCCUUCAUCUGAUUUGUAUCCAAAAUACUGAAACUCAUUUGUCUUGUAACUGUUUAUUCACAAGCUGUAGCUUGUUGGUUUAGCCACCAGUUGGCUGGACCAUUAUAGUUUAUCUUUCAUCUGAUUUCUGUUAUUCUCAUGAGUCUUCUGGUUGUUGGAAUAUGAGCUGUAACCUACUGGUUUAACCACUAGUUGGUUAAACCAAUUGGUACUGAAAAUAUAAAGUAAGAUUCAAAUACUAAAAUGUUAAGAUUCUGAGGUGGAGUUUCUAUGGUUUUUGUGUGUUUAAACUUUCAAAAUUAGUUAAGCUCAUAAAUCAUCUUGUAUGCUCAAGUUUGCAAUUCAGAUUUGUCAAGGUUGUAUGGAUGGAGGAACCUGUUGAAUCUGAACUCUUUUCAUGGACAAAUUCAUAGCAUAAACUGAUCAUCUCCUCCCCUUCUACUUCAGUGUAGUCUUCCAUAAUCAUGGGGAUGAAAACCUCAUUGGAUACAUGGGUUUAAUCCUAUGACAUGAUUAAAUCCAUGAACCAGGUUGUCCCUCACGUUUGAUUGUUGUUUUCUUUUCUUUGUACAUUCUGGUUCAAUAGUAGUUUAGUAAUUAAUUCCCCUCCCCUCUUUCCCUAUUAAAAGUAGUGUUGAUCAUGUUUCCUUUAGGUAGUAUUUCUUUUCUUCUCCUUCUCUUACUUAACUUUUCUUGGCUAAUUUGAUAGUGAGCUUUAACUUGUUGGUUCAGCCACUAGUUGGCUGGAUCAAUUAGUUUUAAAAAGCUUUAAUGUGGGAGAUAAAGUUGUUAUGGACAAGUCAUGUUCAAGAGGAGCAAGGAAAUUCUGGAAUCAUUAGAAGCUUUCUUUUACUGUAUUUUUGUUCCAUUCCAAUUUCUUGGGUGUCAGUUGUUUAGACAUUGAUUCUCUAAAAAUUAAAACUUCAUUGUAUAGAUUUGGGACUUACAUAUUUUUAAAAAUUGUUAAUUUUUUCCAAGUCCAGUUAGUGGUUAGUAAGCCUGCUAAAGUAGGCUGUUUUACUGUGCCAUGAAUGUAAUCUGCGGUAUAUGCGAUUUGGCAUUGGGGUCACUACUAGGACAAAUUUUUAGGCCAAUUCAAUGCAAGUCUGGUUUGAGCCAUUUGGGCUUGGGCGUUUGGACUUCACAAGAUGGCCAAACAGAAUUUGAUUCUUCAAUUACGGUUGUUCAAUACAGUUAAAAUUUUAAUUUAUU